rnacentral:tRNA from 1 species
GGUAAAAUGGCUGAUAAAAGCGAUAAAUUGUAAAUUUAUUUAUGAAAAUUAAUCUUUUGCUA